GGAUGCGAUCAUACCAGCACUAAAUCACCGGAUCCCAUCAGAACUCCGUAGUUAAGCGUGCUUGGGCGAGAGUAGUACCAGGAUGGGUGACCUCCGGUGAAGUCCUCGUGUUGCAUUCC
rnacentral:rRNA from 1 species